rnacentral:rRNA from 1 species
AUAUCAGUCAUGCAUAGCAUAUCAAUAAGCGGAGGAAAAGAAACUAACAAGGAUUCCCUUAGUAACGGCGAGUGAAGCGGGAAGAGCUCAAAUUUGAAAUCUUCAAGGUUUUACCUUGACGAAUUGUAGUUUAAAGAAGUGUUUUCUGUUGAAGUUUUGGUAAAAGUUCUUUGGAAUAGGACAUCAUAGAGGGUGAGAAUCCCGUAUUUGACCAUUACUUUCAGCUUUGUGAUACACUUUCAAAGAGUCGGAUUGUUUGGGAAUGCAGUCCAAAAUGGGUGGUAAAUUUCAUCUAAAGCUAAAUAUUGGCGAGAGACCGAUAGCGAACAAGUACCGUGAGGGAAAGAUGAAUAGAACUUUGAAAAGAGAGUUAAACAGUACGUGAAAUUGUCAAACGGGAAGCGUUUGACACCAGUGUUGUUUUCUCGAAAAUCAAUUAAAAAGAGUUGGAUUUUGUGUUGUAUUGACUUUAUCGGCUUUCUUCACUCUUUUCCAGCUUUUUUUAAUGCACUUUUCGUUUAACAAGUCAACAUCAGUUUCUUUUGUUGUAAAAAGGUCAUUGGAAGGUGGCUUUCUCUUCGGAGAAAGUGUUUAUAGCCUUUGACUCAUGCAAUCGGAGAGACUGAGGUCUGCAGCGUAGAUCCUUCGGGGUUAGAUACAUUUGUGCUAAGUUAUAGCUUUUCAUAGACAACUUGUUGACUAUGUUUAGUCUUGUAGCUUACUCGCUUAUGCUAUUUUACCUACGCUUAGGAUGUUGAACUCUAUCACACACAG